rnacentral:lncRNA from 1 species
GUUUAUUUAAAAAAUGAAAUAUAUAGAAAUUAAAUGUUUUAUGGCACCUACUUAUAACAAUCAAGGUAAUAAUCUAAUUGCAGCCCCCUCCCUCCAAAAAAAAAGUCAGUAGAUCUUCUAUGCUCCCUGCAAGCUCGGUUGGAAAGUGAAGCAAUUAUCUGGAUAAUUCAGUCCAAAAAAAAAAAGUAUUAAAGGAGUAGUGGGGGUGGGCUUUUCCUGUCCCCAAUUCACUGGAGCCAUCCACUAACAUGACCCACUGUGGUGGAAUUUGGCAUUAAAAAGGCUUGUGUUGGACCCUGUCCAGUGGCGUUUAGUUACUGGAUUCUUUGAAGGACAUUGUGCAAACAUGGUCUCCCAUGUAACUUGGGUCUAAGACCUGGGUUUUAAGAACCUUGAUCUUACCACGCAGCUCCGCUGGAUCGAAUUAUCCAGACGCUUCCAUCAUCCCACUUCCUGUUGCCGGGUUUAACAAUGACAGUGUGUAUUGCCACCACUUCCGCGUGAAUGCUUGGAUCCUGCAAGCAGAAACAGCUGGGUGAAAGGUGGCCGCCCUUUGCUGCUGACUCUUCGCUCUCUAGCCCGAGCAUCUGCACUGAGUCGCUGGGAUAAUUGUGUUGAUUUGACUAAUGGUAGAAACGAAGGUGGGAUGGCUCCCCAUCUCAAACCCGGAGUCCUGCUUUUUCUGCAAGAGCAACCAUGCUGGGGAAAUAGCAGCAUCGCUUCUGUUUGAUCUGCUCGUGCUUCCUAACCACGCCUAAGCAGAGGCUUCUGUAAAAGGACCCUGAACCAACUAGAGUUGAUGAAGUUUAACACUAGAAGACUAAGUGUCUUCAUGGACAUCACACAGCAAGCCAGUGGCAGAGCCCGGAACCGGCUCAGCUCAUCUCCUCUCCCGCUGAAAGAGGCAGCUAAAAUCACAGAAAUUGCAGGGUCAAGAUUUACACCUCAUACAUCAGAUAUACAAAAAAACAGUAGCUUAUUUAUUUUAUAUUACUGAUGCAAUCUCACUCAAAAACCUUCGUUUCGACAGAUGUCAGAAAUAACUAAAACUUGGCAAGUAGCAGUUCCUUCUGAGGGAAAAGAGGAGGGAAGUUGACUAAAUUCGACUUUGCAACCCACAAGCAAAGCUGAUCCUGUCUCCUCGGAAUUUCCUGUCACCUCUUCUUCCUCCCCAAAUGCUCUCUGGAUAAUGAGAAGUCCGGGGAUGCUCUCAGAGGCCCAUUUGCACCCUCUGCAGGCUCUUCCCCUGGACCUCCCUGCCAUCUUUGGGCCUCUGCUCUCCCAUGAGCUGUGCUGUCCGCAGCUGGAGUCAUUUGCGGUCUGUUUCUCUCAGCGUGGGCAAUCUAUGGUGAUAGCUCCCAGGGAGCUGGGCCAUCUCUCCUGUGAAAGUUCUACCCUGGGGUGCCAGCGCUGUGGGAAAGCCUGCAACUGCUGUUUAGGAAGACCUUAGAAGACCUUCUUUAUCGGGAACUCACCAAGUUAGGACUGAAGACAAUCGCAGACAUGAGUCCCUUAACUUUUUCUUGGGGCAGAAAAUUAAAAGCAGACACAUAAUUACUUUGAAAAGUAAGUCUCUUCUUGAAGGCAGAAGAGUAAAAUCACUGAUGCCAUCCCCCUCCCAAUAACAAAAAUAGAAGGGGGGGACACCCUCUCGGCAUCAUGGAUGAAAUAGAGAAAUCUCUCUAAUUCCAAACCACAAACUAGGAAAAGUGCCUGCCAAAUAUUGCUG